GCCAAAAAUCUAGCCCUAUUUUUACGUAUAGCCCCAAUAACUAACUGCAUGAAUAAAAACAUUUUUCUCUCUUUAGUAAAGGCGAUUGAAAAACAAAUUAGAGCCAUAAUGAUAGUACCGCAAGGAAAAGAUGAAAUAAUAAUGAAAUAAACUUCAAGCAUAAAAAAGCAGAGGCAUACACUCGUACCUUUUGCAUCAUGAUCUAACUAGUCUAACCAAGCAUAAAGAACUUUAGUUUGACCUCCCGAAACUAGGCGAGCUACUUCAGGGCAGCUUAAUGAGCCCACCCGUCUCUGUUGCAAAAGAGUGGGAAGACCCCCAAGUAGCGGUGAUAGACCUAACGAGCCUAGUGAUAGCUGGUUUCUUAAGAAAAGGAUUUAAGUCCUACCUAAAGCAUCUUUAAUAAGCACUAAAAACUUCUAAUGCUUUAGAGCCAUUCAAAUGAGGUACAGCCCGUUUGAAAUAAGGAUACAACCUACACUAAUGGGUAACUUCAUUUCUCAUAUUUAAACAAGUGGGCCUAAAAGCAGCCACCUUUUAGAUAGCGUCAAAGCUUUCCUAUACAACAUUAUCAAUGUCACCACACCCUAUCAACCCUUUAUUAAUAUUAAGUUGUUCUAUAUUACUAUAGAAGUAUUUAUGUUAGAACUAGUAAUAAGAAAAUUGCCCUUCUCUUAGAUGUAAGUGUAAAUCAGAAAGGACAAACCACUGCUAAUUAAACAUCAAUGAGCACAAAACAGUAACCCAACCAGAAAACCCUGUUUUUAUAAAUGUUAACCUGACACUAGCACAUCACAAGAAAGAUUAAAAGAAAAAGAAGGAACUCGGCAAACAUUAACCCCGCCUGUUUACCAAAAACAUCGCCUCUCGCUAUAUAUGAGAGGUCCAGCCUGCCCAGUGAUUAAAUUCAACGGCCGCGGUAUCCUAACCGUGCGAAGGUAGCGUAAUCACUUGUUCUUUAAAUGAGGACUAGUAUGAAUGGCACCACGAGGGUUAUACUGUCUCCUUUUUCCAAUCAAUGAAACUGAUCUCUCCGUGAAGAAGCGGGGAUAGAUAUAUAAGACGAGAAGACCCUAUGGAGCUUUAAACAAUUAUAGCACUAGCCCCCACCUUCAUUCUCCAGAGACAUAAUUAAUAUACAGGCUAACAUGACUAUUAGUUUUAGGUUGGGGUGACCGCGGAGCAAAAAUUAACCUCCACAUUGAAAGGAGCUACUCCUGAGCUAAAAGCUACGACUUUAAGCACCAAUAAACUGACAUUAAUUGACCCAAUAUGUUGAGCAACGAACCAAGUUACCCUAGGGAUAACAGCGCAAUCCAUUUCAAGAGCCCCUAUCGACAAAUGGGUUUACGACCUCGAUGUUGGAUCAGGGUAUCCCAGUGGUGCAGCCGCUACUAAAGGUUCGUUUGUUCAACGAUUAAAACCCU
rnacentral:rRNA from 1 species